AUGAAUUAACACAGGAAUCUCUCACUUUCUUUGUGUUGCUCAGUUCGAACUAAAAAGAAAUGGUCAAGAUGAAGUCAGAGAUGAAAAAAGCAGGGGACAUGAAGAAUCUAUCCAGUGAAAACCCUAAUCCUGAAUAACUAAGUGAGCAACAGGGAACCAUUACUAAAUCAUACCCUCUGGCCUGGAGAGAUUAUGGACCUCCCAGAAAAUUGAAUCAAGCUGAAGCCUUGUGAUUUUCCCCCACAGCAUGUAUAUUAAAUGCAACAAGAUACUAUGCUAAGAUAAUGGAUGUUUUGAGUGGUUACCAUGAGGCCAUCCUCAGGGAAAACUUGACAAACUCUAUAGCCUCCUUAAUGACAACAGUUACAGACGGAGGAAAUGGAAACCCAAAGAAGUAAAAUUAGUUACCCGGGACCACAAAGCUAGUUCCUGGUAGAGACUGGACUGCCACUGAGAUGUAAGAGGUCCUGUUUGUGCAGAAGAAGUCAUCCAGGCUGAGAGAGAUUGCACAGGACUUGAAUCUGAAUCUCCUCCAUCCAACUAUGGUGCUCUUACAUGGAAGCUGGUGUGAGGGACCCAAGGGGGGACUCUCCUAAGAAGGUGCACCUGAGAAGUGCUGAUCCAAGAAUGGAUUUUUCUCAAGGUUGCUGUCCUUUGCCUCUGACCAUCAGAAGCAAAGCAAUUCUCUUAUUUGACUAAUAUCUAAAACGUUUAGGAAAUUUGUGUAUUUCAUUUUUUAAUCUAUCAGGAUUUGGAAAUCAAUCAAGAUAGCCCAAUGAAAGGAUCACCCCACACUUAAAAGAAACUGUUGACUUAGGAGAAAAUUAUCUUAAAAAGAAAUUCAAGCUCAAAUCAUGUCAAAUGCCUUUUCUAUAUUCCUAUUGUUCAAGAAUUCUCAGAAAUAUUAUAAAGUAACUAACAAAUUUCAUUAUUCUUAAAAAUACUUUUUUUCUCUACUUAUCUCUUUAAAGAUUACUUUGACCCUUGUAACUCUUCCCCUCUUCAAAAAUUAAAUUUCCCUUCUGAGUUUUUAUAGGGGCUAAACAAAAAAGGAUGUGGCAUUAAUCAAAUAUUGGAUAUUGACAAAUUAUAGAGUUAAAUCAGGAUAAUAUUUCAUUUAAAAUUGCAAGGAUAAAUAUUGAAG